GACGAACCGAGCGAACGUUGUUCGGAAUCACUGGGCUUAAAGGGCUCGUAGGCGGGUGCUCAAGUCUGUGGUGAAAUCCUCCAGCUUAACUGGAGAACUGCCAUGGAUACUGGGUGUCUCGAGGAAGAUAGGGGUAUGCGGAACGAUUGGUGGAGCGGUGAAAUGCGUUGAUAUCUAUCGGAACGCCAAAGGUGAAGACAGACCGCUGGGCUUGUUCUGACGCUGAGGCACGAAAGCGUGGGGAGCAAACGGG
rnacentral:rRNA from 1 species